GAAGCAUGAACAACGGAGGCACAAAACAUCAUAAACAUGAAUCAAAUGAACUUUAUCAAAUUAAUGUGAUCAUUCUAGCUAAAACAAAAUUAAUUCAUCUUUGUCAAUGGAAAAACAUCAAAACAUUUUGCAAACAUUUUGAAUAAAAAUAAGAUUAAGGAAUAAGAAACUUUUCAUGAUUUCGGUAGUUCUCCGAAGACCGAUUGUGGUGGCUUUCUUCGUUUCUUGUGAUUGUAAAAUGCUCCUCAAUGUGGUUGGCCAAUAGUGGUUUUCCUUAAGGGAAAAUGCUAGCUAAAGGAGAUGGGAAAAUGGGAAGGCUUAUGUGUGGAAAAGAGGGAAGAAAAUGUAAGAGGAAUGUGAAUUGAGAGAUGAAUAAGUGAUGAGGGAUGAUGGAAUGAGAAGUAAGGGUUGGUAUUUAUAGUAGUGGGAUGGCAUAGAAGUUUGCUAAAAUAGUUUGAAGAUCCCUUGGUUUUCUCCUUUGCUUGGUGGGCCUUGAAAUGUGGAAAGGGAUGUUGAUAGUUGCUUGAUUCUUUCUUGAUUUCAUGCAUGAAUCAUGCAAGGGGUUGGACGGUUUCUUGGGUAUUAGUUGGGAGCUGAUUUCUGAUUCUUUCACAAGUGCAAAGACCACCAAAUUAACUUUCCCAAAGCUGAUUUGGGCUGCUCUUGAUGGCUUUUUCGAAUUUGGGUCAUUCUCCCUCUUGUUGGACAGUUUUGACAACCCAAUUGAGAGCAGACUUCAGUCUUUUCAAUAACUAUCUUUCAAAUUGGGUUGAAUUAAAUUUGUGAGUCCAAUUUAAUGAGUUUCCUGUCCAUAUGGAGUAAAAAUUAACUUGUGUCCAUGUGAUAUUAAUUAGCUCCCAUACUCCUUAAUUCAAUGGUUCAUCUAUGAUAAUUUGAGCACAAAUAUUAGCAUGUAGCAUAAGAUAGUUAAAUUAUGCAAAAUUAAUACAUAAAUUUAUAAAAUUGCAUACUUUACUAAAAUUAUGUCCAUUGUCUCAAUAUGAAAAAAAUCACCCAAAUAAAUAUCCAAAUACUCACGAUUAAUAUAAAUUUUAAGUAAAAAUGUGAUAUAAACAACUAUAAAAAAAAUUUAUAUAAUUUAGAGUUUAUAAAUGCCUCCCUACAACACUCAAUCAAUCGUUAGGGCCCCCAAUGGCAUAAUUGGCCAUUUUGGAUCGAAAAAUGAGGAAAAAGAGGCGAUUUCACAAAUCUACUUGUAAAAAUUAAAAUUACGUAAAACUACUAAAAAGACAUUAAAAACACUUAAAAACAAGCUUGUUAAGUGACAAACGGGCCUAAUUUGACUCAUCAAUUUGUGGCAGAUCAAUUAUCAUAUAAAUUAUAUUAUUUAACUUUGAAUUGAUCGUAGUUGCUCUUGCAACGAAUGUGGUACACUAUAGCUCGGAUCCAACGAUUGGGUCAAGUUUAAAGUGUUACAAUAUAUAUCUAACUUGUAACAAAUAAUUAUGCAACCUUUCAUUAUCAAGUCAAAUGAUGUAUUCCAAAUCUUACUGAAUUGGCUUAUUGGCUGAUUAACCAUUUUGAGUAAUCUUUUACAUACCUUGACAUAUAACGUCGUAUAUAAGUGCUUAUAAUCCAAAUUAUUAGCAUAUAAUCAAUCCCAAUCAUCAUUCAACCAAUUUGUAACAUAUAUGUGUAUUAUUAUUCCCCUAUUAACUUGACCCGAACCCGGACUCGAACGGAUACACGGAUCUAUCCAACACACAAAUUUGACACCUAGUGCCUCAUCAAAACGUCUGAAAUAAAUAAAUUAUGCUUAACGCUCAUCGGUUUAACUAAAAUAAUAAUUGUGCCCAACACUUGUCGGAACGUUCAAAAGAAAAAUGCGCUGAGUGCUCAUCGACAUAUAGUUGAAAUAACCCAUAAUCAACAUAUCCCACGGCAUGCCAAUUAUAUCUGACUUUGCCCAAACAGAUAAUAGAUUAACCAAUUAUUCAAUUCAAAAUAUAGCUCAAUUUACAUUUCAUCAUUUUCAAUUUAUCAAGCACUUCAUCAAUUCAUAUAUAACAUAACAUGAGUUAACCCAUUUUCAAGCCAAUUCACAUUUUUAUCAAGUUACACUAUUUUCAAUUUUAUUCAAUUUAGUCUUCUAUCUUGAUAAUUGAUCAAUACCACAUCAAUUCAAUUAAAUUAAAUAUUUUAAACUCAACUCAAUAUCAUACCAUGCAAAAAAAAAUGCAACAAUUGGAGUGAUUCGAAUCAAAGAAACGCAAAUAGGAAACUCCAAGCUAUUCGUUGACGACUUUAGCUUUUCCUUUCCCUCUCGAGGAAUCCGGGUCGACGUUAGCUAUGGAUUAACACAAACAUACAAUACCAUCAAUAUCCAACCAAAUUCACAAUCAAUUGCGAUUUUAUACAAUUUUUACAUUUUAUUCAAUUUAGUCCCUAAAAUUGGGACAAGCAUAACUUUCAACUUAAAACUCCAAAUUGAAAUUCGAUUUCACUAUUUUCCAUUAGGGACCUCCUAUUUCUUAUUUCUACAGCCAAAUUUACACUUUAUGCAGUUUAGCCCCUAAUGUACAAAACUUUUAAUUAGCUUUACAAUUUGGCUCUUUUUCAUCUCUAAGCUUAGAAUCUAUCAAUUUAGCACCUAAAACUUCCAAUUCUCAACUAUGGCAUCUUUCAAAACUUUAAUGGUUUUACAAAUUGAUACAUGGGUUACCUAGAUUAAGCUCCUAUGAUCUCAAAAACAUAAAAAAUGUAAGAAAAGAACUAAAUUGAACUAACCAAUUUAUGGAUUGAAAGCUUGAAUGUGCGCCAAUGGUGUUUCUUCUUCUUCAUCAUCUUCUUUUUCUUUAAGUUCGGGUGGAGAAG
rnacentral:lncRNA from 1 species